rnacentral:rRNA from 3 species
GGUUAAGCGACUAAGCGUACACGGUGGAUGCCCUGGCAGUCAGAGGCGAUGAAGGACGUGCUAAUCUGCGAUAAGCGUCGGUAAGGUGAUAUGAACCGUUAUAACCGGCGAUUUCCGAAUGGGGAAACCCAGUG